rnacentral:rRNA from 1 species
AUAAGAGGUCCAGCCUGCCCAGUGACCCUGUUCAACGGCCGCGGUAUCCUAACCGUGCGAAGGUAGCGUAAUCACUUGUCCUUUAAAUGUAGACUAGUAUGAAUGGCACCACGAAGGUUAUACUGUCUCCUUAUUUUAAUCAGUGAAACUAAUCUCCUCGUGAAAAAGCGAGGAUAAAAGUAUUAGACGAGAAGACCCUAUGGAGCUUCAAACAACAUGGCACUCAUUAUAAUAUAUUUUUCUGAACACUUGUUUUUAAUGACAUGACCAUAAGUUUUUGGUUGGGGUGACCACGGGGUAUAACAAAACCCCCAUGUUGAAAACUUCUAAGCCAAGAACCACAUUUCUAAACAUCAACAUUUUGACAUCCAUUGACCCAAUAUAUUUGAACAACGAACCAAGUUACCCUAGGGAUAACAGCGCAAUCCACUUCAAGAGCUCCUAUCGACAAGUGGGU